GACGAACGCUGGCGGCGUGCCUAAUACAUGCAAGUAGAACGCUGAAGAGAGGAGCUUGCUCUUCUUGGAUGAGUUGCGAACGGGUGAGUAACGCGUAGGUAACCUGCCUUGUAGCGGGGGAUAACUAUUGGAAACGAUAGCUAAUACCGCAUAACAAUGGAUGACACAUGUCAUUUAUUUGAAAGGGGCAAUUGCUCCACUACAAGAUGGACCUGCGUUGUAUUAGCUAGUAGGUGAGGUAACGGCUCACCUAGGCGACGAUACAUAGCCGACCUGAGAGGGUGAUCGGCCACACUGGGACUGAGACACGGCCCAGACUCCUACGGGAGGCAGCAGUAGGGAAUCUUCGGCAAUGGGGGCAAGCCUGACCGAGCAACGCCGCGUGAGUGAAGAAGGGUUUCGGAUCGUAAAGCUCUGUUGUAAGUCAAGAACGAGUGUGAGAGUGGAAAGUUCACACUGUGACGGUAGCUAACCAGAAAGGGACGGCUAACUACGUG
rnacentral:rRNA from 1 species